rnacentral:rRNA from 1 species
AGUGAACGCUGGCGGUAGGCCUAACACAUGCAAGUCGAACGGCAGCACAGUAAGAGCUUGCUCUUACGGGUGGCGAGUGGCGGACGGGUGAGGAAUACAUCGGAAUCUACUUUUUCGUGGGGGAUAACGUAGGGAAACUUACGCUAAUACCGCAUACGACCUACGGGUGAAAGCAGGGGAUCUUCGGACCUUGCGCGAUUGAAGGAGCCGAUGUCGGGUUAGCUCGUUGGGGGGGUAAGGGCCCACCAAGGCGACGAUCCGUAGCUGGUCUGAGAGGAUGAUCAGCCACACUGGAACUGAGACACGGUCCAGACUCCUACGGGAGGCAGCAGUGGGGAAUAUUGGACAAUGGGCGCAAGCCUGAUCCAGCCAUACGGCGUGGGUGAAGAAGGCCUUCGGGUUGUAAAGCCCUUUUGUUGGGAAAGAAAAGCAGCAGGUUAAGACCCCGCUGUUCUGACGGUACCCAAAGAAUAAGCACCGGCUAACUUCGU